AGCAGGAUCGACUAAUUGGUUAGGUUAUCAGACUCAUGAUCUGAAGAUGUAGGUUCGAGUCCUACUCCUGCUA